rnacentral:rRNA from 1 species
CCUACGGGUGGCAGCAGUAGGGAAUCUUCCGCAAUGGACGAAAGUCUGACGGAGCAACGCCGCGUGAGCGAAGAAGGCCUUCGGGUCGUAAAGCUCUGUUGUCAGGGAAGAACAAGUAUCGGAGUAACUGCCGGUACCUUGACGGUACCUGACGAGAAAGCCACGGCUAACUACGUGCCAGCAGCCGCGGUAAUACGUAGGUGGCAAGCGUUGUCCGGAAUUAUUGGGCGUAAAGCGCGCGCCGGCGGUCCUUUAAGUCUGAUGUGAAAGCCCCCGGCUCAACCGGGGAGGGUCAUUGGAAACUGGGGGACUUGUGUGCGGGGGAGGGAAGUGGAAUUCAACGGGUAGCGGUGAAAUGCAUCGUGAUGUGGAGGAACACCAGUGGCGAAGGCGGCUUCCUGGCCUGUAACUGACGGUGAGGCGCGAAGGCGUGGGGAGCAAAGAAGAUUAGAUACCCUAGUAGUC